GCAGUGGUGGCUCAGUGGUUAAGGCUUUGGGUUGCUGAUCAGAAGGUGGGGGGUUCAUGCCCUAGCACUGCC